rnacentral:rRNA from 1 species
UACGAAGGGGCUAGCGUUGCUCGGAAUCACUGGGCGUAAAGGGUGCGUAGGCGGGUCUUUAAGUCAGGGGUGAAAUCCUGGAGCUCAACUCCAGAACUGCCUUUGAUACUGAAGAUCUUGAGUUCGGGAGAGGUGAGUGGAACUGCGAGUGUAGAGGUGAAAUUCGUAGAUAUUCGCAAGAACACCAGUGGCGAAGGCGGCUCACUGGCCCGAUACUGACGCUG